UCCAGGCCCUGGAAGUAUCAUUCAGCAAUACAAAGAAACGGGCUGCCAUGCCAAGGAAUGUGUGCUGGCGGGUGAAAGAAACCUUACGUUCAGAGGAGAGAAAGCUGAAGAUGCUGAGAAAGUCUGUGGAUGGGGCUUGGCCGAGCAUGGGAGGGUGACGUGUUAGGGUAGUCAGACUGUCCUGUGCAAGUGUGGGAGGGUGACAGGGUGCGCAGUGUUAGGUAGUCAGGCUGUCCUGUGCGAGUGUGGGAGGGUGACGGGGUGUGCAGUGUUAGGUAGUCAGACUGUCCUGUGCAAGUGUGGGAGGGUGACGGGGUGUGCAGUGUUAGGUAGUCAGACUGUCCUGUGCGAGUGUGGGAAGGUGACGGGGUGCGCAGUGUUAGGUAGUCAGACUGUCCUGUGCAAGUGUGGGAAGGUGAUGGGGUGCGCAGUGUUAGGUAGUCAGGCUGUCCUGUGCAAGUGUGGGAGGGUGACGGGGUAC